rnacentral:lncRNA from 1 species
GAACUCUUUAACACACCUUUGGGCAUUCUUGUUGGGCUUUCUCUAUCUCUCAAAGACCUAAGGUCCAGAGUAUAUUUUGGGAAGGCUUGCUUUAUACUCAGAGAGAAUUGCUUCCUCCUACUUUAAAAACAGAAAGGAAGAUAAAGAUCUCAUUUCCAUAACACAAUGUAUAAAGACAACCUGAUUCAGCUGAUGACUGCCAAGCCCUUUGAUGGGUCCCCUCAGAACCAUAUUCAUAUGAAGGGGAAGAAGUCAUGUGAGGACACAGGGAAGGCAGCCGUCUACAAGCCUGGAAGAGAGGUCUCACCAGAAACCAACCGUGAC